rnacentral:rRNA from 1 species
UACGGUUACCUUGUUACGACUUAGCGCCAAUCACCGAUUUUACCUUCGGCCUAUCUACAUAGGACUUCGGGUACCCCCGGCUUUCAUCGCUUGACGGGCGGUGUGUACAAGACCCGGGAACGUAUUCACGGGAGCGAGCUGAUCUCCCAUUACUAGCGAUUCCGGCUUCAUGGAGUCGAAUUGCAGACUCCAAUCCGAACUGAGGACGGCUUUUUGAGAUUAGCUCCCCCUCGCGGGUUGGCAACCCUCUGUACCGUCCAUUGUAACACGUGUGUAGCCCAAGGCAUAAGGGCCGUACUGACUUGACGUCAUCUCCACCUUCCUCCUGGUUAUCCCAGGCAGUCCCCCAAGAGUGCGCACACCAUAAUCCGAAGAUUAAAAGUGUGGUAGCAACAUGGGGCAAUGGUUGCGCUCGUUGCGGGACUUAACCCAACAUCUCACGACACGAGCUGACGACAGCCAUGCAGCACCUGUGCAUCGUCCGGCCUAACCGACUCUCUCCUUUCAGAGAGAUACGACGAGCAUGUCAAGCCUUGGUGAGGUUCUUCGCGUAGCAUCGAAUUAAACCACAUGUUCCACCGCUUGUGCGGGUCCCCGUCAAUUCCUUUGAGUUUUAGCCUUGCGGCCGUAGUCCCCAGGUGGAGCACUUAAUGCGUUAGCUGCGGCACUGAUCCCGAAGGACCAACACCUAGUGCUCAU